AGGCCACCGCCGCUCCCCCUCCCGCGCCUGCCAUCGGGCCGUGAACUUUCCGGUGGGGUAUGUUCUCCUUUAAGAAAGCGAACUGUUCCUUAUGCAUAUUUAAGGCUGUUUGUCUGCAGUGCCCAGCUGACACGGGGCUGGAGGCUCACACGCGGGACCGAGCUCUGGAGGAGUAAAUCAUCCCCACUUUAAACGCGCCCUCUGCCAGGGCUCCAGUUGGGAGCUCCUUCCCAUUGCCCUAAACACACCCUAGGGGGUUCCUGCCUCCCUCAGCACUCCUGCAUCCCUAAGAUCAGUGAGUUUUCCAGACUUCCUCCCUCUUUUUGCCCUGCACGAGAGCGCUUUGCUGGGUGCGCGUGUGAGGAGCGGAGAGGAGCGCCGGGAGGGAGAUUGGGACAAUAGCUGGAGUGGAUUAUUCAUUCCCGUAGGCAAUACUUCCCUGUAUGGGCUUCAGGAUGCAGUUGGAAGCUUGGGAACAAAGCGGGCAUCGAAUGUCAAGGCUCCUUUUGAGGAAGAAAUAGCUCUGCUGGGACCCCAUGCCUGGGCUUUGGAGGGCAUGGCGCAGUGGUCUGAUAUGAAAGCACUGUCCCUGCAGAUGGAAACUCUCCUCUGUAUCCUGUGCCUUGCAAGAAAGGCAGCGAGGGGACACUUGAAGUAACCAAGCAUCUGGCAUCAAGCCUGACAAUCCACUUCACACUACGUGAAGGAAAGUUUGUUCCAAACCACAUACUUUGUGGUGCUCAAUACUGGUGUCAAACUGGUCUGAACUGUCCCAGGUCUAAAAUAAAAUCUCCAUUGUGGUAUGGAA